rnacentral:rRNA from 1 species
GGCGAGUGAAGCGGCAAAAGCUCAAAUUUGAAAUCUGGCACUUUCAGUGUCCGAGUUGUAAUUUGAAGAAGGUAUCUUUGGGUCUGGCUCUUGUCUAUGUUUCUUGGAACAGAACGUCACAGAGGGUGAGAAUCCCGUGCGAUGAGAUGUCCCAGACCUAUGUAAAGUUCCUUCGAAGAGUCGAGUUGUUUGGGAAUGCAGCUCUAAGUGGGUGGUAAAUUCCAUCUAAAGCUAAAUAUUGGCGAGAGACCGAUAGCGAACAAGUACAGUGAUGGAAAGAUGAAAAGAACUUUGAAAAGAGAGUGAAAAAGUACGUGAAAUUGUUGAAAGGGAAGGGCUUGAGAUCAGACUUGGUAUUUUGUAUGUUACUCUCUCGGGGGUGGCCUCUACAGUUUACCGGGCCAGCAUCAGUUUGAGCGGUAGGAUAAGUGCAAAGAAAUGUGGCACUGCUUCGGUAGUGUGUUAUAGUCUUUGUCGAUACUGCCAGCUUAGACUGAGGACUGCGGCUUCGGCCUAGGAUGUUGGCAUAAUGAUCUUAAGUCGCCCGUCUUGAAACACGGACCAAGGAGUCUAACGUCUAUGCGAGUGUUUGGGUGUAAAACCCGUACGCGUAAUGAAAGUGAACGUAGGUAGGACCUCCUUUAGGAGUGCACUAUCGACCGAUCCUGAUGUCUUCGGAUGGAUUUGAGUAAGAGCAUAGCUGUUGGGACCCGAAAGAUGGUGAACUAUGCCUGAAUAGGGUGAAGCCAGAGGAAACUCUGGUGGAGGCUCGUAGCGGUUCUGACGUGCAAAUCGAUCGUCG